AACGCGAAGAACCUUACCUGGGCUAGAAUGCAGAAUGACCGUGAGUGAAAGCUCACCUUGUAGCAAUACACAUUUUGUAAGGUGCUGCAUGGCUGUCGUCAGCUCGUGCCGUGAGGUGUUGGGUUAAGUCCCGCAACGAGCGCAACCCCCAUCACUAGUUGCCAUCAGGUAAUGCUGGGAACUCUAGUGAAACUGCCGUCGUAAGACGUGAGGAAGGAGGGGAUGAUGUCAAGUCAUCAUGGCCUUUAUGCCCAGGGCUACACACGUGCUACAAUGGAGAGGACAAAGGGCAGCAACACAGCGAUGUGAAGCUAAUCCCAAAAACCUCUUCUCAGUUCAGAUUGCAGUCUGCAACUCGACUGCAUGAAGCUGGAAUCGCUAGUAAUCGUAUAUCAGCAAUGAUACGGUGAAUACGUUCCCGGGCCUUGUACACACCGCGAGC
rnacentral:rRNA from 1 species